GACGAACGCUGUUUGCGUGCUUAACACAUGCAAGUCGAACGGAAAGGCCCUGCUUUUGUGGGGUGCUCGAGUGGCGAACGGGUGAGUAACACGUGAGUAACCUGCCCUUGACUUUGGGAUAACUUCAGGAAACUGGGGCUAAUACCGGAUAGGAGCUCCUGCUGCAUGGUGGGGGUUGGAAAGUUUCGGCGGUUGGGGAUGGACUCGCGGCUUAUCAGCUUGUUGGUGGGGUAGUGGCUUACCAAGGCUUUGACGGGUAGCCGGCUUGAGAGGGUGACCGGCCACAUUGGGACUGAGAUACGGCCCAGACUCCUACGGGAGGCAGCAGUGGGGAAUAUUGCACAAUGGGCGGAAGCCUGAUGCAGCAACGCCGCGUGCGGGAUGACGGCCUUCGGGUUGUAAACCGCUUUCGCCUGUGACGAAGCGUGAGUGACGGUAAUGGGUAAAGAAGCACCGGCUAACUACGUGCCAGCAGCCGCGGUGAUACGUAGGGUGCGAGCGUUGUCCGGAUUUAUUGGGCGUAAAGGGCUCGUAGGUGGUUGAUCGCGUCGGAAGUGUAAUCUUGGGGCUUAACCCUGAGCGUGCUUUCGAUACGGGUUGACUUGAGGAAGGUAGGGGAGAAUGGAAUUCCUGGUGGAGCGGUGGAAUGCGCAGAUAUCAGGAGGAACACCAGUGGCGAAGGCGGUUCUCUGGGCCUUUCCUGACGCUGAGGAGCGAAAGCGUGGGGAGCGAACAGGCUUAGAUACCCUGGUAGUCCACGCUGUAAACGGUGGGUACUAGGUGUGGGGUCCAUUCCACGGGUUCCGUGCCGUAGCUAACGCUUUAAGUACCCCGCCUGGGGAGUACGGCCGCAAGGCUAAAACUCAAAGGAAUUGACGGGGCCCCGCACAAGCGGCGGAGCAUGCGGAUUAAUUCGAUGCAACGCGUAGAACCUUACCUGGGUUUGACAUGGAUCGGGAGUGCUCAGAGAUGGGUGUGCCUCUUUUGGGGUCGGUUCACAGGUGGUGCAUGGCUGUCGUCAGCUCGUGUCGUGAGAUGUUGGGUUAAGUCCCGCAACGAGCGCAACCCUUGUUCACUGUUGCCAGCACGUUAUGGUGGGGACUCAGUGGAGACCGCCGGGGUCAACUCGGAGGAAGGUGGGGAUGACGUCAAGUCAUCAUGCCCCUUAUGUCCAGGGCUUCACGCAUGCUACAAUGGCUGGUACAGAGAGUGGCGAGCCUGUGAGGGUGAGCGAAUCUCGGAAAGCCGGUCUCAGUUCGGAUUGGGGUCUGCAACUCGACCUCAUGAAGUCGGAGUCGCUAGUAAUCGCAGAUCAGCAACGCUGCGGUGAAUACGUUCCCGGG
rnacentral:rRNA from 1 species